CCUUAAUGUUGGGUCUAGCGUUUGGAAGAGGCUGGUGGCACAAAGCACACGUGGUAGUGGUAAUGCCAUUGCCAUCGGAAAUGUGCAUCCACUUUGGAGUUUCCAAACUAAUGGCUGGUUCCCUUUUGAGUCUGGGCCCUGCCCAGGCUGCAAAGCUCCAUGAAGACCCUUCCAUCUGCAUCUGAGCGUGUUCUUACAGAUUCUUCGGGGUGGAAACUGAGGUGCAGAGAGCCGAGACUAUCAUCCAAAUGUUGCUGCGAAUAAGAUGUGGAGCCAGAUGGACUCCUAUUUUCAGUCAACACUGGAUGCUAUGCUAUGGAGCCAUGGAUUCCAGAGUUCUUAAAACAGAUGAUACUCACACUCAUUUAUUCAAUGUUUCAAAAGUUGGAUCAACAUUUCUAAGGAAUAAUUGAACUCUGUUUUGUGAAAUGUUAUCUAUUAGUUAUGGAAAUGUACUUAUGAAAAUGUAUUAGUAAUAUAAGCAAGGCAUAACAAUUGAAAUAAGAUUUUAUGUGAUAAUACAAACUUCGGUUACCCAGGUCCUGCUCAUGGGGAAUUUGUGGUGGGUUGUGCCUAUUAAGGCUGGAGUGUCAUUUAUCCUGUGGGGAGAGAAGGCAGGGGUCCCUGGGAGAGAAGAAGCAGCCCUCUUCUCUCACAUCCCUGGCUUUUUAUCUUCAUCCCCGCAGGAAUGGCAGGGUACUCGUGAGAUUUCAAUAAACACCUGGAACCACUAGAGACUGCA